AGUCGAGGGGCAGCAUUUCAGUUUGCUUGCAAACUGGAGAUGGCGACCGGCGCACGGGUGAGUAACACGCUAUCCAACCUGCCGAUAACUCGGGGAUAGCCUUUCGAAAGAAAGAUUAAUACCCGAUGGNAUAAUCAGACCGCAUGGUCUNAUUAUUAAAGAAUUUCGGUUAUCGAUGGGGAUGCGUUCCAUUAGGCAGUUGGUGAGGUAACGGCUCACCAAACCUUCGAUGGAUAGGGGUUCUGAGAGGAAGGUCCCCCACAUUGGAACUGAGACACGGUCCAAACUCAUACGGGAGGCAGCAGUGAGGAAUAUUGGUCAAUGGGCGCAGGCCUGAACCAGCCAAGUAGCGUGAAGGAUGACUGCCCUAUGGGUUGUAAACUUCUUUUAUAUGGGAAUAAAGUUUUCCACGUGUGGAAUUUUGUAUGUACCAUAUGAAUAAGGAUCGGCUAACUCCGUGCCAGCAGCCGCGGUAAUACGGAGGAUCCGAGCGUUAUCCGGAUUUAUUGGGUUUAAAGGGAGCGUAGGUGGACAGUUAAGUCAGUUGUGAAAGUUUGCGGCUCAACCGUAAAAUUGCAGUUGAUACUGGCUGUCUUGAGUACAGUAGAGGUGGGCGGAAUUCGUGGUGUAGCGGUGAAAUGCUUAGAUAUCACGAAGAACUCCGAUUGCGAAGGCAGCUCACUGGACUGCAACUGACACUGAUGCUCGAAAGUGUGGGUAUCAAACAGGAUUAGAUACCCUGGUAGUCCACACAGUAAACGAUGAAUACUCGCUGUUUGCGAUAUACAGUAAGCGGCCAAGCGAAAGCAUUAAGUAUUCCACCUGGGGAGUACGCCGGCAACGGUGAAACUCAAAGGAAUUGACGGGGGCCCGCACAAGCGGAGGAACAUGUGGUUUAAUUCGAUGAUACGCGAGGAACCUUACCCGGGCUUAAAUUGCAUUUGAAUAAUCUGGAAACAGNUUAGCCGCAAGGCAAAUGUGAAGGUGCUGCAUGGUUGUCGUCAGCUCGUGCCGUGAGGUGUCGGCUUAAGUGCCAUAACGAGCGCAACCCUUAUCUUUAGUUACUAACAGGUCAUGCUGAGGACUCUAGAGAGACUGCCGUCGUAAGAUGUGAGGAAGGUGGGGAUGACGUCAAAUCAGCACGGCCCUUACGUCCGGGGCUACACACGUGUUACAAUGGGGGGUACAGAAGGCAGCUACCUGGUGACAGGAUGCUAAUCCCAAAAGCCUCUCUCAGUUCGGAUCGAAGUCUGCAACCCGACUUCGUGAAGCUGGAUUCGCUAGUAAUCGCGCAUCAGCCAUGGCGCGGUGAAUACGUUCCCGGGCCUUGUUCNNANNGCCCGUCAAGCCAUGAAAGCCGGGGGUACCUGAAGUACGAACCGCAAGAG
rnacentral:rRNA from 1 species